rnacentral:SRP_RNA from 1 species
GUGCUAGGCGGGGAGCUAGUGGUGCCCUGUACUCACAAUCCACUACAGUGAGGCUGAACGACGUUUGAGGCUCAAAUUUGGCUGUGUUGAGUAGUGGUAGUGUAUGUUGAAAUUAAGGUCUUAUACAAUAUUGCCCUACGAACCAUGUCAGGGUAGGAAUACAGCAGCAUUAAGUUGGAUACAGUAUGUGAUAUAAGGUUGCUUUGAUGGAGUGCAAUAUUAU